rnacentral:lncRNA from 1 species
AGUUCUACCAAGCGUGAACCAAGCCGUUUAACAUGCAUGAGCUUACAUGGGCCAUUCCCGCUCAGAGAAUAGAAGGAGCAAGCAACUUGGAUGACUCCGUUCUUAGGAAUCUUCUGUUGUUCUGUGGAUGCAAGGAACAAGAUUCCUUGUUCUUCAGAGGCACAAGGAAAGAAAGUAAUGUAGGCAGCCAGGCAUGGCUCACAGUUGCAAUCCCAGCACUUGGGAGGUUGAAGCAGGAGGAUCACCUAUUUGAAGUCAGCCUGGGGUUACAUAGAGACCUUAUCUCAAAAAUGUAGAUAAACACCAGCAUGGGGGCAACCAAAUUGCAGUUUCUGAGCAGCUGACUUCUCUAGGGUGGCUGAGAUAGGGGUCACUCUGGGGUGAUGACAUUUCCCUUGGGACCCAAAUGCUUAAACAGAGUCUCCCAAUGGAGAGCUGGAGAGAGAACUAGACAGAGGGAACAGUUGUGCAAAGGCCCUGAGGUGAGAGUAGGGACCUGACGGCAGACCUAUGGAUCACAGGGGUCCAGGCAGGAGAGGCUGGCACCUAGAGCUGUGAAGAUGGGUGCAAGGAGCCAGUGGAGUGCAGGCUGUUCUGAAUGAAUACCCAACAAACCUCACCAGCUGAUGAAGGCAGCCCAGGAGCAGGGACCCUUAGGUGUUUGGUUUAAUAGACUCGUGAGUGAUGCUGUUCUCCGAGAAUUACAAAAAUAGGGGAGAAAGCAGUGCAAGGACAAAAAGCAGGUGUUUUAAUUCUAUACAGCAGGUGUUUUAAUGUCUAAUGUGCAGACACAUCUGUGUUUACUUCUGGACUGCUGAACCAAAGACAGAGUUCUGAGCGCCUGUGGAUUCACGUGUUUAUGCAUGUUCAUGUGCAUUCAUCCACACACAUACAUGUUCAUGAGCACAUUCAGUGUCUGUGUGUCCAUGGUGCAUACAUGUUUCAUGUGUGUACAUAGUUGUAAACACUCUGUUCAUGCACAGCUGUUCAUGUACGGGGAUAUGCUUGUGUGUACAGGAGUGUGUUUGUGUGUAUGUUUGUGUAUGCCUUUGGGUUCAUGUGCAUAUGUGCAUGCAUGCAUUUACAUGUUCAUAUGUGUGUGUGCACCUGCUUGUGCAUGUGAGUUCUCCUAGGACUUCUUACCUGCCAUUGUCAUGGGCUAACUCAGGCUUUGUUGUGGGGCUGUCCUGUGCUUUGUGGAGUUUCUAGAGCAUCCAUGUCCUCUACCAACCAGAAAUCUACAGGAGCCACCCACAGCUGUGACAGUCACAAACAUCUGAGAAACCACCGAGUGUCCUUUGGAGGAAAAUUUAUUUCUAGUAGGGAACUUACAUGGGACCUUCACAGAGACACUGACUAUUGUCACAGGAAAGGAUGGCAUAAGUGCCCUGUGUCCUUGCCCCAGUCACUAUCCUGAUCAUAUUGCUUUUUCCUAUAAACCUCAGAGACUGCUUCAGAGCUCCCCUCAAUGAUUGCACAGUAGCUAGGGUUGCCCAUUAGGUGAAAUCCAUCUAAUUUCCCAUUUCCAGAGUUGAAAGGAAG